UCGCAGGAAGUGGAGCAGAAUCGUGGUCGUUACUGCGGCUUGCUAGGGUGUCCAAGCCUGUCGGCCAAAGCUUGGUUGAGGCGCCUGAUGGAGAGAAAUGGCUAUCCAUUUGAAAGGAGAUUGGAUGUUGCUGGCGGGCCGCGAUCGAUGUCGGGGGCAGAGUCCGGCUCCCGUAGGAGUCCGGACGGAGUCUGCCUGCAGUCGAAGUUGGGGACGAGGUCC
rnacentral:lncRNA from 1 species